rnacentral:rRNA from 1 species
CCUACGGGGGGCUGCAGUAAGGAAUAUUGGUCAAUGGACGCAAGUCUGAACCAGCCAUGCCGCGUGGAGGAUGAAGGUCCUCUGGAUUGUAAACUUCUUUUAUUUGGGAAGAAACUCCCGAUUUCCAUCGGGAUUGACGGUACCAGAUGAAUAAGCACCGGCUAACUCCGUGCCAGCAGCCGCGGUAAUACGGAGGGACCCGGCGUUAUCGGGUUUAACUGGGUUUAAGGGGGGCGGGUAAGUCAGGGGUGAAAUCUCCGGGCUUAACCCUGAAACUGCCAUUGAUACUAUUUGUCUUGAAUACUCUGGAGGUGAGCGGAAUAUGUCAUGUAGCGGUGAAAUGCUUAGAUAUGACAUAGAACACCCAUUGCGAAGGCAGCUCACUACGGAAAUAUUGACGCUGAGGCACGAAAGCGUGGGGAUCAAACAGGAUUAGAUACCCUAGUAGUC